rnacentral:rRNA from 1 species
UACGAAGGGGGCUAGCGUUGCUCGGAAUGAGCGUGGGCGUAAAGGGCGGCCGUUAAGGCGGAUGGCACAAGUCAGGAUCGUGAAAUUCCCGGGCUUAACCUGGGGGGCUGCAUUUGAUACGUGUUGUCUUGAGUUCGGAAGAGGGUCGUGGAAUUCCCCAGUGUAGAGGUGAAAUUCGUAGAUAUUCGGGAAGAACACCGGUGGCGAAGGCGGCGACCUGGUCCGACACUGACGCUGAGGCGCGAAAGCUAGGGUAGCGAACGGG